AGUUGUAUCCUGGCUCAGGAUGAACGCUGGCGAGACGCUUAACACAUGCAAGUUGAACGAUACCUCUCUUUGCCUUGACUUCGGUCAAGAAUAAGUUUGGCUAUAGUAGCGGACGGGUGAGUAAUACCUGAUUACCUACCUUUUGGUGAGGGACAACGAUUGGAAACGAUCGCUAAUACCUCAUACUACUGAGGAGUAAAAGGCUUUUAGCCGCCAAGAGACGGGAUCAGGCCGGAUUAGCUAGUUGGAAAGGUAAUGGCUUCCCAAGGCAACGAUCCGUAGCUGGUUUGAGAGGAUGAUCAGCCACAUUGGAACUGAGACACGGUCCAAACUCCUACGGGAGGCAGCAGUGAGGAAUUUUCCGCAAUGGGCGAAAGCCUGACGGAGCGAUUUCGCGUGAGGGAAGACGGUCUGUGGAUUGUAAACCUCUUUUGAUAGACAAGAAGUUCUGACUAUCUAUCGAAUAAGCACCGGCUAACUCUGUGCCAGCAGCCGCGGUAAUACAGGGGGUGCAAGCGUUAUCCGGAAUUAUUGGGCGUAAAGCGUCUGUAGGUUGGUUUGUAAGUCCAAAUGUUAAAACGUUCCGCUUAACGGGGCGAUGGCUUUGGAAACUACAAAUCUAGAGUACGGUAGGGGUAGAGGGAAUUACUAGUGUAACGGUGAAAUGUGAAGAUAUUAGUAGGAACACCAACGGCGAAAGCACUCUACUGGGCCGAUACUAACACUCANAGACNAAAGUUCAGGUAGCCNAUANGAUUAGAUACCCUAGUAGUCU
rnacentral:rRNA from 1 species